AUCUCCCCCUCGAAGGCAUUUGAACUCAGUUCUUAAAUUCAAGCUGGUAAAACAGUAUUUUAAGGAACAGUCACAGCAAGACUGACGCCGGCUGGUGGCCACUUGGAGGGGCCAGUGCUGAUCCACGAACACCCCCUUGCAAAGGUGGCUGCUGUGGGGUUGCUGCUGGUGCUAAAUUCUGGCGUCUGGGGUGGGGGGACCUGAGUCUGUGAUUUUUUGUUCCUCUGGAUUUUUUGUUCCUUUUCCAUUUGCUUGCAAGCACAGCAGAUUGGUGUUUCCCUUGGUCGCCACAGGAUUAGGGCAGAUAGACCCUCCUGGGCAAAGUCUAGUUGGCAACUCAGAAAUUGCUCAAAAAAACCAACCAACCAAACAAACAAAAAAAACGCAUCCCAGGGUCUUCCUCAGGCAGAACUCAUUUGAGCUGAAUGAAAGAGCAGCUUCUCACUGCUGCCAUCCUGCUGCCCAUGGCUUGGGCUGGAAAGCAGCAGCACUGCCGGGACAGCGAGGAGCCACUGCUGCCGGGAGGUUUCACUCCAUCCUUAUGCUUUCUCCUUGCUCCAAAAUCCUUAAAGUUGAUUUUUUUUCUUUUUUCUUUUUUUUUUUUUUCCCCAGUUAAAACCAGCGAGGGAUAAAUUUUUCUGCAGUCACAGCGAUGGGGGAGCUAACACAAGCCCAGCCGGCUGGAAGUGAGGCGCAGCCCUCGAGCAAAGCUGCCCCUACGCACACGCAUUUGGGGAUGCAGGGUGGGAUGUCCCAAAGCCAAGUGUCCAUGAGAAAGCCUCCUGGGAACAGCACAGCUGAGGCAUGACCGAGAUCCCAGUACAAAAGAGACAGGGAUCUCCUGGAAAGAGGCAAGUGGAGGGCCACAAAGAUGAUACGGGGCCUGGAGCAUCUCCCCUGGGAGGAGAGGCCGAGAGACCUGGGUCUGGUCAGCCUUGGGAAGAGAAGGCCGAGAGGGGAUCUGAUCGAUGUCUGUAAAUACCUGAGCUGUGGGAGACAGAGGGACACGGCCGACCUCUUUUCAGUGCUCUGUGGGGACAGGACAAGGGGCAGCGGCCACAAAAUGGAGCCCAGGCAGUUCCGCACCAACACGCGAAAGAACUUCUUCCCGGUGAGGGUGACGGAGCGCUGGGACAGGCUGCCCAGGGAGGCUGUGGGAGAUGCUCAAUUCCUCUCCUUUCACCAGCACCGCCGAUGCAGUGGAGCUGCUCUUGCACCGCUGCAGAUGGUGGGAAGCCAGCCCGGAGGGUCAGGAUUUCCUGCAGGGCUGCCGUGCCCAGCUCUGCACAAUCAUUUUGCCCAAGUGGGUAAAACAUAG
rnacentral:lncRNA from 1 species